rnacentral:lncRNA from 1 species
CUCGUAAUAUUACUUCCUUCCUAUGAUAACUCAACACUUAUUAAAAUUGUAAAAAUAAAGUAAAACAACAUUUACGAAGAUUUCUUCUUUUUAUUUUUUUUUCCUUUUCCAUGAUUUUCAUUUUAAGAGAUGACUUCUGAAUUCCAAUCCACAAAAUCGGCUAUCUUGUAAAGCAAUGGGGAAACUUUGUCAUUAAUUUGUAAGCGUUGAGAGAUGAGCAGGUCCAUUUUACAUUUAGUGUACCGAAUCAUCUAUUGUUCCUGAUCAGAACAUCCAGCUAUGUCCUAUCUGUGAACGUAACAACCAAUAGGUCAAAAUGCACAUAUAGUUCUUCAAAUUUGGCUCCAUUUAUUAAUUUAAACAUCUCAACAGAUGAGGUGUGACGAAUGGAAUAUUCAAUUUAUGGAGUACUUAAAGUUACACAUGUCAUUAGUUUAAAAUAUAGAGUUCGUUACUUAAAUAAUCACUCAACUAUCUGAAAUUAUCAAGUAAAGUCAUUAUUUUUUCGUUCGUAACAUAAAAGUCACUUAACUAUGUCUAUAGCUCAGAAGGUCAUUCAACCAGAUUUCUCAAACUUUUGAUUGUCAAAUACCUAUUUUACCCUCUAAAAUAGGUAUUUGAUAUUAUGGACUUACCUAUAGAACAAAUAAAUUUUAUCUAUAAAAUAAAAAUAAAAAUAAAAAUAAAAAAUUAAUUUUCUAGCAUAUUUAAUGUCAGAAUAAUAAUAUAAUUGAGCAUAAUUUUCAAGAAUAUAUAAUUUAUAUUAUAAAAAUACCUUUAUUAUUUAUUUUUCUAUUACAUGCAUGGAAUAUAUAUUAUGAAACCUUUAUUUUCUUUCGUUCUCAAUUAUGUAAAUAUUUUUUUGAGUUUUUGCUGUAAAUAUCAAAAUUAUUAUUAAGAACAAAUUGUUCUAAUUAAUAUUUUUACUAUGCUCAAUAUUUUAUUAUUCCAACAUUAUAUAUUCUUAAACACUAUUUUAUUUUUAAUUUAUAAAUAAAACUUAUUUAUUCUGUAGGUAAGUCCAUAAUAUAAAUUAAAAAGAUAAAAAUAUCAUAAUAUUAAAAAGUUUAAAAAAAUAAAAAGAAGAUAAACGUUGAUAAUUUAGAGGAUAGAAUAGGUAUUUAGCAAUUAAAAAUUUGAGAAAUCUAGUUCAAUGACAUUCUGAGUGUUAAUGCAUAGUUGAGUGACUUUGAUGUUACAAAGAAAAGAAAGAUGACUUUAAUAGGUAAUUUGGGAUAGUUGAGUGAAUAUUUGAGUAAUGAACUCUUAAAAUAUAAUAAAUUAUUUUCCUCUACUGCAAAAAAAAGAAGGAGAAAGAGUUAUAAAAUGGAAAAUAGUAAUUACUUCUAAUCGUGGAGUUGGACCACGAGAAAGAGCAGUCAAAUAUGGGAUGCUAAGGAAGUGAGUAUAGUUUGUUGUUUCUGUUAGUUUAAAUUAAUGUUAGUUAUAAAUUAAUGUUAGUUAUGUCUUUGUUGUUGUUUAUAUCUCAUGUAUAUAAUACUUAUAUAUUAGAUCCCAUGCUUUUUCUUUUAUGCUUUAAUAUCAUAUAAACUUAGGCAAGCCUUAAAUAAUAUAGGAUUUAAAAGGAAAAUUAGUUAGAAGUAGAUCCUUAACUCACUAAUUAUAAUCUGCUCGCAAAUUAUUAUGUUUUUCACUCACCCUUCUUUCCUUUAAAGAUUUCAAAAUUCAGAACUUAGCAAAACAACAGCUCUAUUUCAAAAAGGGAAAUCGAAUCUCAACUUCAUUUUCAAAAGGAAAAUCAGAACUUCAAGAACUGUCGCCUUUAAGGAAAUUUCGGCAAAUAACCUCUUCUUUGAAAACCCUCUGAAUCUAAGGUAAUUAUAGGCUUACUUUCUUAUAAAAUAUCCCUUUAGAGUUAUAUAAAUAACCAUCCCCCAAAUUAAAGUAUUUUCAUAACUCAAUCUCUUUUAUAAACUUAUAAAAUCUAGACCACUUAUAUGCCAAUUUCAACCUAAGAUCUCAAAAGGGGCAUGCUUUUAACAGUAUUAGCAAGUCAAUGUGUUUAGACAAUAUCAACAAAUGGGCUUCAUAAGGUUUGAGAGUCAAGUUCAACUUCAGGUUAACAAUAAGGAGGAGGGCUGAGUAUAACUUAAGGUAGAACAUGAUGUUAAAGAGUUAAGCAAGGAGGCUAGCAACAUUCAGUCAAUUGUUCAUAGGCAAAAUAAAUAAAAUAGUGAUCGCAUGUAGGUAGAGGAACUUUACAUAUUAUAGAACCAAUUACAUAACUAAAUCAACAUAUUGGUAAAAAAAGGAGAUGGAAAAUAUUGCAUCAAAACAAGUUCAAACUCAAACAUAAAUCUAGUUCAACAUAUAGAUAUGAAGUGAUCAUGCUUCAACUCCUAAAAGGGUCACUUGAUUAUAACAUAGUGUCUAAGUCCUUUUUUCAUGGAAGAUCAGUUAAAUAUAGAUGCAUGCAAACUUUACAAAAUCAACAGGGGCUCAAAAGAUUAAUGACAGGGAUGUACUGCACAAGUUUUGAAUUGCACAUGUAUAUGAAUAUCUUAAUAUGAUUAUGGGAGAAACGAACAUAGUUAUGCAAUAAUUAUCAGUUGACUUUAUCCAAACAAAAUCAUGACUUACAUUAAGGGGAAGAUAACUUAACCUUAACAGAAUAUAUAUAACAAAAGGGUUCAGGAGAAGGAGACAUGUUGAUGCAAAUAAGAUAGUUUCCUAUAACAGCUGAGUAUGAUUAUGAAAAGGCCAUAGUGAUAGCCCAUAUAUCACCCUCAGAGUUAGUAAAUAUAGAUGUAGAGAAGGAAAGUAUCUAAUCACUUAAAUUCUUUCAACUUAAGUGACAUGGACAUAUUGAAUUUUUAGGAGUAUAUCAGUUAAGGUUACCAAAUAAUGAAAUCAACCAUAAGGAAAAUAAGGUGCAGGAAAAUAAGAUGAAGUCUCAACAAAAUCAUCAAUGAAGGGAAAGGCAUGAAGUUUAGAUGAGCAUGAUUGGUUCAAUAAUAAUGAUAGCUAAAAUAAAGUAAAAGACUAUAGUAGUAACUCAGCAAAAUAGUUGGACAAACACAAGCAGAGACACUUCAAGUUUAGGCUCAUGGUUAAAAGGCAAGGGGAUAUAAGUCAUCUUAGUUCAGGUUUCAUUUAAGUCAUAACUAUCAGGUAGUAAACUCAGCUUCCAAAACUCACAAAAUUACAGAAGUGCAAUAAGAUAGAGAUGAGUUUAUUGCAAGUCACUGAGAACUAUGAAGUUUGUAUUGAACAUAAACAUGUAAGAAUUCAUGCAUGGAGAUUGUAGGAAAACUCAGAACAAAGAUCAACAAUUAUCAAUGACUUAAUCGAUUAUCAUUUUAGAGAAUCAUAACAGAACAAGCUAACCAUAAAAGGUUGUCAAACUAACAAAGCAUAAAUAGCAAACAUGUCAAACACAUACAACAUAAUUAUAAUCUACAGAACUUAACUCGACAUAUCUAAAUCAUUCAGAAAGGUGAAUAAAAGAAAAAGGGAGAGAAAGAUGAUGACCUUCUUAAGGGCAGCAGACCAAACGAAUUCUUUUUGUUGUUCAAGAUCCCAGAACCUUCGAUCUUGAACCAACAAAAGAACUCGAUUAAAGAGAGGGGACACAGUAAGAAAGCUAUGACCAGAAAUCCUAAUGUACUAAGUGUCGUGUGUGCUUAGUGUUCGUGACUGUAUGUGUGUUCAGUGUUAGGUUGUUGUAGAUGAAAAUAUUAAAGGCCCUAUUUAUAGUGCCAUUUAAGGCCUUAGAGUUUAAGAUUUUAAACUAAGAUAGUGUAGAGUGAUGAUGAGUUGAUGAUGUGAGCAUAGUCGGGUAAAAUAUGAGAGAUCAAAGGGGAAAUCAGUGUUUGAGUUUACCUGAGUGGAGAAAUAUGAGAGGCUGAACGUUGAAGAACAAGCAACCACUGGUCAGAACCCUAAUACCCAGAGGUCAUUGAAUUUGACCUUUGGUGUCGAAUAUCAAUGAUGAAGCCAGCUAACAUCUCAUGCUUGCUUCGAUUGGUAAGGACGAAAGAAAAUCUGGCGAGUUGAAGUUUCAUCUCUGGGGUUAGUGUUUGGAUUUGGGAGAUUUGAAUUUUGAUGAUGAAACAAGCAAAGAUACAACGAGAAUCAUGGAUAUGGGGGACAAAUGAGAUGAUUUGAGGUUAAUUUCAUGACCUUGCACUAAUUUGUGCAAGGGUUGUUGAUUGAUGGAGCUAGGGCAGACGAGAAAAAAGAGAUAAGAAGAGGAAAUAUGGGCGACUGGGAAGGUGACAAAUGAUUUAGAAUUUU